GGGUAAUCUUUUGAAACUUCAUCGUGCUGGGGAUAGAUCAUUGCAAUUUUUGAUCUUAAACGAGGAAUUCCUAGUAAGCGCGAAUCAUCAGUUCGCGUUGAUUACGUCCCUGCCCUU
rnacentral:rRNA from 1 species